rnacentral:rRNA from 1 species
CAAGUCUUGACAUCGUAGCGACCGGAACUUAACCGUUCCUUCCCUUCGGGGCGCUAUAGACAGGUGGUGCAUGGUUGUCGUCAGCUCGUGUCGUGAGAUGUUGGGUUAAGUCCCGCAACGAGCGCAACCCUUAUCCUCAGUAGCCAGCAGUAAGAUGGGCACUCUGAGGAGACUGCCAGGGAUAACCUGGAGGAAGGUGGGGAUGACGUCAAAUCAUCAUGCCCCUUAUGAUUUGGGCUACACACGUGCUACAAUGGCGUAAACAAAGGGAAGCGAGAGGGCGACCUGGAGCAAAUCCCAAAAAUAACGUCCCAGUUCGGACUGUAGUCUGCAACCCGACUACACGAAGCUGGAAUCGCUAGUAAUCGCAGAUCA